UACGUAGGGUGCGAGCGUUAAUCGGAAUUACUGGGCGUAAAGCGUGCGCAGGCGGUUUUGUAAGUUUGUCGUGAAAUCCCCGGGCUCAACCUGGGAAUUGCGAUGGAGACUGCAAGGCUAGAAUCUGGCAGAGGGGGGUAGAAUUCCACGUGUAGCAGUGAAAUGCGUAGAGAUGUGGAGGAACACCGAUGGCGAAGGGCAGCCCCCUGGGUCAAGAUUGACGCUCAUGCACGAAAGCGUGGGGAGCAAACAGG
rnacentral:rRNA from 1 species